AUCACUUUUAUACUCUUCCGCCGUCGUUGCUUCCUCACGCCAUUUUCUAUUAGAGUGUAUAGUUCGCUCGUGAGUUAUACCACGUUAACGUUAAUAUUUCUAAAUAUAAUACAACUGGUUGGUUGAAAUAGUGACAAAUUAGAAAAAAUAAUUAUAGCGAAUAUGAGUUACGGUAGGCCACCGCCGCGUAUCGACGGCAUGGUGUCCUUAAAAGUAGACAAUCUUACUUAUAGAACGACGCCAGAAGAUCUCAGGCGUGUGUUUGAAAGAUGCGGGGAGGUUGGUGAUAUCUACAUACCACGAGAUCGUUUUACUCGUGAAAGUCGUGGUUUUGCCUUUGUGAGAUUCUAUGACAAACGUGACGCAGAAGAUGCAUUAGAUGCUAUGGAUGGAAGGUUGUUAGACGGUAGGGAACUUAGAGUUCAAAUGGCACGUUAUGGUCGACCAACCUCACCUCAUCGAAGUCGUGGAAGUCGCAGACGUGGAAGGUCACGCAGCCGUAGCAGAGAUCGCAGACGAUCUCGUACACGAUCACGUAGUAGGUCUCGCAGUCGUGAUAGAGAUCGUAGACGUUCCUACAGCCGUAGCCGCAGUCGUUCUCGCUCUGAUAGUAAAAGUUCUCGUGGGAAAUCUCGUUCUCGCAGCAAGUCUCAAGAGCGACAAAAAGACAGUCGUUCAAAAUCAAGAUAAGAUACUGGAAUAAAAGGAUACGAGUACAAGGAAAAUGAUUUACAUCCUUCGACCCACCAUAUUAUCUGUCUUGAGAAGAGAUUUGAAAAGGCGGUGGAAAGGAGUGGCAUGGCGAGUGUAGCCGAUGAUGGGGUAGCUGAGAGUAAGCUGUAAGCCGAGUAAGCAGGGCUGUAAGCAGUUUGCAGUAGCGAGCGGUUGGUGGUCUGGUGAAAGCAGGUUCGCGAGAGAUCGAUGCGAGAGAGUGUGCGAGCGAGCAGUCUCUUUGGGGGGUCGCACUGCAGAAUUUGCGGAUGGUACGGUCAAACGCAGAGAAUAAAAAGCAGAACGCAAUCAGAGCAGCAGCACGCGGUUGCUGGUCGCAGAGGCAUCGAUCCGGGUAGCAGGUAGCACGUGAGCAUAUCACCAGACACCUCGCGAACGAGAUUACGCGUCAGCUGAUAAGUUACCACAUCUAUCUUAGUUGUCAAUAAUUAUUUGACCAAUUAUUGGCUAUCGUUUUCGACACUUGCCGCCACAUAGUAAAAUUAAACUAGGUGGAAUUGUGCUCGAAGAAUAUCACAUUUUUUCUCCGCUCUUUCUUUUUUGUGUUUUUCUUCUAGGUUCUUCGAUAUAUAUAUCUCAACAGGAUUUUGGUUUUAACAUAUUAUAGAGGUAAGCCAUGAAAAUUAUUUACUAUAUGUAUAUAUGUGUGUGUAUGUGUGUGGUGUGCAUAUAUAUAUAUACAGCAUAUAUAAUAUUUGCUCUUACCCAUCGUUACGUUUAACUAAUCAUUCAAGUUAUAUAUUUAUCGAUGUAAGGGCUAUUAAUAAAAUUUUCUUUCACUUAUUAUAUGUGUAUAUUUUGUUUUUUUCUUUGCUCUUAUUCUCCAUUUUUAUCCUUGAACUUAUUCUAGUAUUAUGUAUUUACACUACUAUAAUAUUAUUAAUAUUAUUAUAUAUUAUUAUUAUUAUUAUUAUUAUUAUUAUUAUUAUUAUGAAUUAUUACGAAUUAUUACGAAUUUACAAUUAAUCCCUUAAUUAUCAAUCGCAAAUCAUUAAAGUCUACGGAAAAGGCAAUUAUUUUGUAAUACAUACUUACGUAUGUAUAUAAUGUCAUGUUCCUUCUUGCUGUGCAGGAAGACAGUGUUAGUUCGGCCAUACUGGACCAGAAAUUUUCGUGAUAUUCCUUAGGCGAAUUUCAACCUAUUGUAGCAGACAUCUAUCACAGAAGUGGUACCGGCAUACCAACCAGGUGUCCCAAUCGGAAGAUAAUAAGUAAAUAAAAAAAUGAAAAGAAUAAACUUGCUAAAUGGCAUAUUCUGUAAAUAAAAGACAAAAAUGUAGUAAGAUAUUAUGGGAUAAACUCUGAAGAAGAAUACACCUAUGAAUUUAAUAUUAUAUGCACUUACAUAUCGCAGCAUGUAGAUGUACUAUAGAAUAUAAUUUUUUUUUUAUGUAUGUAGUAGGAACCAAAUUACAAUAUUAUGCUAUUUAAAUAAAUACUAGAUAUUUGUUCACAUAUUAUUAAGUUUUAGUUGAGAACAUUUAUCAUAACAGAGCAUAAUUAUUCCAAUUAAUUUUCUGCAAAAAAAAGAAAAAAAAGAAAAAAAAAUAAUUUGGAAUUUCGAACUUGGGAAUUAUAUUAUUUAUAAAAAAAAAAAAAAAAAGUAGGUGCAGUAUGCACGAUUACAUUACAUGAAUUUACAUUUGGAACUUUGGACUCUGUAAUUGCAUUACAAAAUAAAAAAAAGAAUACGAAA
rnacentral:misc_RNA from 1 species